rnacentral:rRNA from 1 species
UACGUAGGGCGCAAGCGUUGUCCGGAAUCAUUGGGCGUAAAGAGCUCGUAGGCGGCCUGUUGCGUCCGCUGUGAAAUCCCGGGGCUUAACCCCGGGCGUGCAGUGGAUACGGGCAGGCUGGAGGCAGGCAGGGGAGAACGGAAUUCCCGGUGUAGCGGUGAAAUGCGCAGAUAUCGGGAGGAACACCGGUGGCGAAGGCGGUUCUCUGGGCCUGUACUGACGCUGAGGAGCGAAAGCGUGGGGAGCGAACAGG